rnacentral:rRNA from 1 species
GAUGAACGCUAGCGGCAGGCUUAACACAUGCAAGUCGAGGGGUAUAGUUCUUCGGAAUUAGAGACCGGCGCACGGGUGCGUAACGCGUAUGCAAUCUACCUUUCACAGAGGGAUGGCCCCAGAGAAAUUUGGAUUAAUACCUCAUAGUAUAGCAGUUUCGCAUGAAACCACUAUUAAAGUCACAACGGUGAAAGAUGAGCAUGCGUCCCAUUAGCUAGUUGGUAAGGUAACGGCUUACCAAGGCAACGAUGGGUAGGGGUCCUGAGAGGGAGAUCCCCCCACACUGGUACUGAGACACGGACCAGACUCCUACGGGAGGCAGCAGUGAGGAAUAUUGGACAAUGGGCGCAAGCCUGAUCCAGCCAUGCCGCGUGCAGGAUGACGGUCCUAUGGAUUGUAAACUGACUUUUGUACGAGAAGAAACAACAUUACGUGUAAUGUCUUGACGGUAUCGUAAGAAUAAGGAUCGGCUAACUCCGUGCCAGC